GGUCCGUUGGCCCAAUGGCAAGGCGUCUGACUACGAAUCAGGAGAUUGCAGGUUCGAUCCCUGCACGGAUCA
rfam:Valsa mali strain 03-8 chromosome 8, whole genome shotgun sequence.